UACGUAGGGUGCAAGCGUUGUCCGGAAUUAUUGGGCGUAAAGAGCUCGUAGGCGGUUCGUCGCGUCGGCUGUGAAAUCCCGAGGCUCAACCUCGGGUCUGCAGUCGAUACGAGCAAACUAGAGUGUUGCAGGGGAGACUGGAAUUCCUGGUGUAGCGGUGAAAUGCGCAGAUAUCAGGAGGAACACCGGUGGCGAAGGCGGGUCUCUGGGCAACAACUGACGCUGAGGAGCGAAAGCGUGGGGAGCGAAC
rnacentral:rRNA from 1 species